rnacentral:rRNA from 1 species
GGAGGGGUGCGAGCGUUAAUCGGAAUUACUGGGCGUAAAGGGUGCGUAGGUUGUUAAUUAAGUUAUCUGUGAAAGCCCCGGGGCUUAACCUGGGUUGGUCAGAUAAAACUGUUUAACUAGAGUAUGGCAGAGGGUAGUGGAAUUUCCGGUGUAGCGGUGAAAUGCGUAGAUAUCGGAAGGAACACCAGUGGCGAAGGCGACUACCUGGGUUGAUACUGACACUGAGGCACGAAAGCGUGGUUAGCGAACAGGAUUAGAUACCCUGGUAGUCCACGCUGUAAACGAUGUCAACUAGCCGUUGGGCACAUAGAUGUGUUAAGUGGCGCAGCUAACGCGAUAAGUUGACCGCCUGGGGAGUACGGUCGCAAAGAUUAA